rnacentral:rRNA from 1 species
CCUACGUGAGGCAGCAGUGAGGAAUAUUGGUCAAUGGCCGUAAGGCUGAACCAGCCAAGUCGCGUGAAGGAAGACGGAUCUAUGGGUUGUAAACUUCUUUUAUAAAGGAAUAAAGGUAGCCACGUGUGCCUAUUUGCAUGUACUUUAUGAAUAAGCAUCGGCUAACUCCGUGCCAGCAGCCGCGGUAAUACGGAGGAUGCGAGCGUUAUCCGGUUUUAUUGGGUUAAAAGGGUGCGUAGGCGGAUUUUUAAGUCAGCGGUAAAAUGUUGGGGCUCAACCCAGAAUGGCCGUGGAAACUGGGGAUCUUGAGUGUGUGAGAGGUAUGCGGAAUGCGUGGUGUAGCGGUGAAAUGCAUAGAUAUCACGCAGAACUCCGAUUGCGAAGGCAGCUUAC